UAUUUCACUAUGAUGAGGAAGAGUAAUGAUAAAUAUCUUUAAAGAGAGAUUGUGGUAGGUGCGAAUAAUCAUGAGUUUAUCGCGAAGGGAGCUUCGGAGUGAUGUAGAACUAAGAGUAGGGCUAAGGCCAAAAAGGGUGGAACCGCGGAAUAAGUAUUCGUCCCUUUA
rnacentral:ncRNA from 1 species